rnacentral:rRNA from 1 species
GGACUGGGAUAACUCUGGGAAACUGGGGAUAAUACUGGAUAUUAGGCUAUGCCUGGAAUGGUUUGCCUUUGAAAUGUUUUUUUUCGCCUAAGGAUAGGUCUGCGGCUGAUUAGGUCGUUGGUGGGGUAAUGGCCCACCAAGCCGAUGAUCGGUACGGGUUGUGAGAGCAAGGGCCCGGAGAUGGAACCUGAGACAAGGUUCCAGACCCUACGGGGUGCAGCAGGCGCGAAACCUCCGCAAUGUACGAAAGUGCGACGGGGGGAUCCCAAGUGUUAUGCUUUUUUGUAUGACUUUUCAUUAGUGUAAAAAGCUUUUAGAAUAAGAGCUGGGCAAGACCGGUGCCAGCCGCCGCGGUAACACCGGCAGCUCGAGUGGUAGCUGUUUUUAUUGGGCCUAAAGCGUUCGUAGCCGGUUUGAUAAGUCUUUGGUGAAAGCUUGUAGCUUAACUAUAAGAAUUGCUGGAGAUACUAUUAGACUUGAAGUCGGGAGAGGUUAGAGGUACUACCGGGGUAGGGGUGAAAUCCUAUAAUCCUGGGAGGACCACCUGUGGCGAAGGCGUCUAACUGGAACGAUCUUGACGGUGAGUAACGAAAGCCAGGGGCGCGAACCGGAUUAGAUACCCGGGUAGUCCUGGCCGUAAACGAUGUGGACUUGGUGUUGGAAUGGCUUUGAGUUGUUCCGGUGCCGAAGGGAAGCUGUUAAGUCCACCGCCUGGGAAGUACGGUCGCAAGACUGAAACUUAA